CCUACGGGUGGCAGCAGUGGGGAAUAUUGCACAAUGGGGGAAACCCUGAUGCAGCGACGCCGCGUGAGUGAAGAAGUAUCUCGGUAUGUAAAGCUCUAUCAGCAGGGAAGAAAAUGACGGUACCUGACUAAGAAGCCCCGGCUAACUACGUGCCAGCAGCCGCGGUAAUACGUAGGGGGCAAGCGUUAUCCGGAUUUACUGGGUGUAAAGGGAGCGUAGACGGCAGUGCAAGUCUGGAGUGAAAGCCCAUGGCUUAACCAUGGUACUGCUUUGGAAACUGUGGAGCUGGAGUGCAGGAGGGGUAGGCGGAAUUCCUAGUGUAGCGGUGAAAUGCGUAGAUAUUAGGAGGAACACCGGUGGCGAAGGCGGCUUGCUGGACUGUAACUGACGUUGAGGCUCGAAAGCGUGGGGAGCAAACAGGAUUAGAUACCCCGGUAGUC
rnacentral:rRNA from 1 species